GACGAACGCUGGCGGCGUGCUUAACACAUGCAAGUCGAACGAUGAAGCCGGAGCUUGCUCUGGUGAAUUAGUGGCGAACGGGUGAGUAACACGUGAGUAACCUGCCCUUGACUCUGGGAUAACUGCUAGAAAUGGUAGCUAAUACCGGAUACGACCCUCGGAGGCAUCUCCAGGGGGUGGAAAGAAUUUCGGUCAAGGAUGGACUCGCGGCCUAUCAGCUAGUUGGUGAGGUAAAGGCUCACCAAGGCGACGACGGGUAGCCGGCCUGAGAGGGCGACCGGCCACACUGGGACUGAGACACGGCCCAGACUCCUACGGGAGGCAGCAGUGGGGAAUAUUGGACAAUGGGCGAAAGCCUGAUCCAGCAAUGCCGCGUGAGUGAUGAAGGCCUUAGGGUUGUAAAGCUCUUUUACCCGAGAUGAUAACGACAGUAUCGGGAGAAUAAGCUCCGGCUAACUCCGUG
rnacentral:rRNA from 1 species